UACGAAGGGGGCUAGCGUUGCUCGGAAUGACUGGGCGUAAAGGGCGCGUAGGCGGCUCAUACAGUCAGACGUGAAAUUCCUGGGCUCAACCUGGGGGCUGCGUUUGAUACGUGCGGACUUGAGUGCGGAAGAGGGUCGUGGAAUUCCCAGUGUAGAGGUGAAAUUCGUAGAUAUUGGGAAGAACACCGGUGGCGAAGGCGGCGACCUGGUCCGAUACUGACGCUGAGGCGCGAAAGCGUGGGGAGCAAACAGG
rnacentral:rRNA from 1 species